rnacentral:tRNA from 2 species
GCAGCGGUAGUUCAGUUGGUUAGAAUACCGGCCUGUCACGCCGGGGGUCGCGGGUUCGAGCCCCGUCCGUUGCGCCA